rnacentral:rRNA from 1 species
UACGAAGGGGGCUAGCGUUGUUCGGAAUUACUGGGCGUAAAGGGCGCGUAGGCGGCUCUCCAAGUCAGAUGUGAAAGCCCCGGGCUUAACCUGGGAAUUGCAUUUGAGACUGGGGAGCUUGAGUUUCGGAGAGGUGGGUGGAAUUCCCAGUGUAGAGGUGAAAUUCGUAGAUAUUGGGAAGAACACCGGUGGCGAAGGCGGCCCACUGGACGAAUACUGACGCUGAGGCGCGAAAGCGUGGGGAGCAAACAGG